ensembl:snRNA U6 U6 spliceosomal RNA
GUGCUGCUUCGGCAAUACAUAUACUAAAACUGGAAUGAUAGAGAAGAUUAGCGUGCCCCCUGGGCAAGGAUGGGACGCAAAUUCAUGAAGUGUUCCAUAUUUUU